UCUAAGUUGGUGGUAAACUCCAUCUAAGGCUAAAUAUGACCACGAGACCGAUAGCGAACAAGUACCGCGAGGGAAAGUUGAAAAGAACUUUGAAGAGAGAGUUCAAGAGUACGUGAAACCGUUCAGGGGUAAACCUGAGAAACCCAAAAGAUCGAAUGGGGAGAUUCAUCGUCAGCGGCGUUGGCUUCCGUGCGGUUAGCGAUGUCCGGGACCUCGGUCCCGCGGCACGCAGCCGCUGCGGCAUGUCCGAAGUCGUCAGCGUGCACUUCUCCCCUAGUAGGACGUCGUGGCCCGUUGGGUGACGGCCUACGGCCCGGUUGGUCGAAUGUCGCGUUUCGUUCGCGCGUGUACGCGGCAGACCACCGGUCACCCGGCUGGCUGUCCGGCGGUAUGGAUCGCUAUUAAAACGGUAUUGGGCCGCAUUAAGUGCGUUCAGGCUCGUCGGCAGGCUCGUCUCUCUCGGCUUUACGGACCUAGCGCCGUUGCCGGGUGCUUGGCGUGGCCGCUAGUCGACGAUGUCCUCGGACUGGCUCUCACAUUCGAACGGAUAUACCGGUCGGUGACGCUACUGCUUUGGGUACUUUCAGGA
rnacentral:rRNA from 1 species